GAAGUCUAAAAGCACGAAAGAAAUGGUGCCUGCACACAGGCACUUCCCCUCAAAAGAAGCAGUCUGCAGAGCAGGAGCAGACAAAGGGACAAUUCGGAACAAACAAGCUCUCUCUAAACAGAUACUCGCCAAUUAAACGAUAAGAUAGUGAAUGGGUCUCCUUUAACAGAAAAAUACUAAAAGUCCUGUGCUUGGCAGAUUCAAUGAAUCAGCGAAUUGUUUCUGCAACCAUCUGAGGUUAGUUAAAUUGACCCGUCAUUCCAACUAACAUUUCUUUGGCUUGUUACUUUUAAAACCUCUCGAAAAAUUAGGAAAGCUCUGAAAAGGCCAGUGGGGGCCUGGUGCCCAACAGCUUUGAAAAACAGGCUGAGAAACCUGCCCAUAAAUUAUCUCAGUCUCUCCCCCACAGGAAUCUGGGUGUGACGGUGAAAAAAUGUCCACUUCACAGUUGUGGAAGCAGAGGCUUGCAAAAGCCCAGAUAACAGAAGUCUAACCAGUCAGCCGAACGCCCGUGGUUCCAUCCGGCAAUCUUCUUUCAAACCAGGUAUCAACAUGAAGUUGUUGUAGUUUUUGUGAAAUAAUCUCGCAGCAUGUUUCUACAUUUACAAAGGAACUGAGGACAACAGUCACGUUAUUGUUUGGAUGUGAAAUGCUCCCCCAACCCCAUCUCUGCUCACGUUUUUUUGAACUUUUGGUCCCCAGAUGGUGGCGCUGUACCGGGAGGUUGUGACACCGGAAGAUAAGCCCUCUCGGUCUCUGUUCUUGGAAAGGUUAUACAGAGGCAUGCAUUGCUGUUGACCCUUCUAUACACUUCCACACAUGCACGUGCUCAUGUGCACACUACAUAUAGUUCUCUAGCAGAUCAGCGGUUCGACAUGGAGGUGAUUGUACUGGGGAAGACGAAGCAAACAAUUGGCUGUGAAGAGUGAGAGCCGUGCCCUGGCACAGCCAGUGUCUGCCAAGUGUCAUCACUCUUGCUGCUCAUCGCCCAGAGUCUGGUUUCUCAUCAUUUAAUUCUGCAAUGAUGAUUAUGUAACAAGGAACAGUUACUCUGUUUACCGGGAGUCUUUCUCUGCUGUGUGCUCAUUUUCCUUCGCCUCUGUACUGACUGACAGACAUUUGAGCU
rnacentral:lncRNA from 1 species